rnacentral:lncRNA from 1 species
AUCAUCAUCAUCAUGAAUCACCGUAAUAAAAAUAUAAAAUUAAUUUCACACAUAUCCCUACAAAUAUAAUAAAUUAUAAAUAUAUUUUUAUAAAUUUUAAUUUUUAUUUACUGUCCCUACAAAAGUACUAAUAUUUUCAAAUAUAUCUCUGCCGUAAGAGUUCGUUAGAAAACUUUAAUUAACCAUAGAUUAAAUAGUUAAUUGUGAUUAGUUUAUUAGAUAACUUGACAUUUUUGUUCCUGUUGUGUCUUUUAGAGAGGCAUACUUGUGAUGGCAAAAUUGACAUUUUAUUUAAAAUAUAAACAGUUUUAUAACUGUAACAAAACAGAGGAAUAUAUUUAAAAAUAUUAAACUUUUGCAAGAAUAAUAUAUAAAAAUUAAUCUUUAUAAGAAUAUAUUUGUAAUUUACUAUAUUUGUCGCGACGUGUAUGCAUUUAACCCUAAAAAGUAAUUUGCCAAUAUUUGUUUACUUAUAUAUUUAUGGACAAAAUGUAAGGAUACCGUCCAUAUUAUUGGUCAGCGAACUUUUGACGAUAUUUUAUUUUGAACCCCCUUUUAUUAUUAUUAUUAUUAUUUUUGUAAAUGAGCCAGUUUUAAAU